AACAUUUACUUAAGUAUAACAUGCAUUUCCUACUAAAUAAUUUUGUGUUACAACAUUUACUUAAAUAAAUCAUGUUACAUUUGCCUUUAGUUCAACUGUAUAGAUUUUAAUCGAUUCAAUUAAGUUAGAAUAACAUGAAACAAUCAAUUUAAAAAAUAAGAAUGUAGUUUAGCCUGCUCCUGACCAUUAGAUGGCGUGAGUGUGCGAUCGGGCUGGAUGCCAACACCUGAAAUACACGAAGAAAUGCCGAUGCAUCUUUUGAAUGUCCUGGCUGUGCUGUGCUGGUGAAGAGUCUGCUUUUUAAGCUCUAAAAGGUCACUGCCAAGGUAUGCUGAUCUGCUGUCCGACUGCAAGUGUUCCUCCAACUGCACCUAUCUGAAGUAGAGCUGUACCAGUGACCUAGCCUGAUUGCCAUCGACUUGAAAGGCUCUGCGAGACUUCAGUCUGACCAAGAGCCUGUGCUAACACGGUUUCUCCCAGCGCUGGUUGACCCGCCUCAUUUAAGUGCCUCGAUUUGCUACUGGUCGAUGUCAGAAAGCGGUUUGCCGAGUUUAAACCAAUAACAACACUCUUUCCUCUGCCUUGAACAUGCCUCUACCCAGAGCCGUUGGAGCUGCUCAAAGUUGAUUGGUUCUCGACCAAAGGGGGCAGUUCCGCAGAUUUCGGGAAUUCAGAAAUCCUUCCCGAUUAGCAGUUGACCAGACCAGCGACAGCAACGCCGAAGGUGUUACGUCACUGGGAGGGCGUGCCAGGCUACCAGUGACCACAAGUUAAAGAUUUUUGCCCACCGACAUCAAGAAGUAGUCUGAGAUGCACCCAUGAUGGCUGAAUUAAGACGAGGUGGCCAGCAUUUUCAAUGUGCGUGAGCUGUGUGCGGAAUUCAAGGGAUCACUGGAUGGAUGCUCCAUCUGCAAACCUGAUGAAGGCAUUUAGUAUCUAUGACUGAGGAUUCUGGCAUUGAUGUCUGCCACGAAUGUGCUCUCCUCUCAAGGGACUGUGCCUAUAUGAAUGAAG